AGCGAACGCUGGCGGCAGGCUUAACACAUGCAAGUCGAGCGGGGUGAUGGUGCUUGCACUAUCACUUAGCGGCGGACGGGUGAGUAAUGCUUAGGAAUCUGCCUAUUAGUGGGGGACAACAUCUCGAAAGGGAUGCUAAUACCGCAUACGUCCUACGGGAGAAAGCAGGGGAUCACUUGUGACCUUGCGCUAAUAGAUGAGCCUAAGUCGGAUUAGCUAGUUGGUGGGGUAAAGGCCUACCAAGGCGACGAUCUGUAGCGGGUCUGAGAGGAUGAUCCGCCCAACUGGGACUGAGACACGGCCCAGACUCCUACGGGAGGGAGCAGUGGGGAAUAUUGGACAAUGGGGGGAACCCUGAUCCAGCCAUGCCGCGUGUGUGAAGAAGGCCUUAUGGUUGUAAAGCACUUUAAGCGAGGAGGAGGCUCUUUUGGUUAAUACCCAAGAUGAGUGGACGUUACUCGCAGAAUAAGCACCGGCUAACUCUGUGCCAGCAGCCGCGGUAA
rnacentral:rRNA from 1 species